AGUGAACGCUGGCGGUAGGCCUAACACAUGCAAGUCGAACGGCAGCACAGUAAGAGCUUGCUCUUACGGGUGGCGAGUGGCGGACGGGUGAGGAAUACAUCGGAAUCUACUUUUUCGUGGGGGAUAACGUAGGGAAACUUACGCUAAUACCGCAUACGACCUACGGGUGAAAGCAGGGGAUCUUCGGACCUUGCGCGAUUGAAUGAGCCGAUGUCGGAUUAGCUAGUUGGCGGGGUAAAGGCCCACCAAGGCGACGAUCCGUAGCUGGUCUGAGAGGAUGAUCAGCCACACUGGAACUGAGACACGGUCCAGACUCCUACGGGAGGCAGCAGUGGGGAAUAUUGGACAAUGGGCGCAAGCCUGAUCCAGCCAUACCGCGUGGGUGAAGAAGGCCUUUGGGUUGUAAAGCCCUUUUGUUGGGAAAGAAAAGCAGCAGGUUAAUACCCCGCUGUUCUGACGGUACCCAAAGAAUAAGCACCGGCAAACUUCGUG
rnacentral:rRNA from 1 species